GAUGAACGCUGGCGGCGUGCCUAAUACAUGCAAGUCGAGCGAACAGAUGAGGAGCUUGCUCCUCUGACGUUAGCGGCGGACGGGUGAGUAACACGUGGAUAACCUACCUAUAAGACUGGGAUAACUUCGGGAAACCGGAGCUAAUACCGGAUAAUAUAUUGAACCGCAUGGUUCAAUAGUGAAAGACGGUUUUGCUGUCACUUAUAGAUGGAUCCGCGCCGCAUUAGCUAGUUGGUAAGGUAACGGCUUACCAAGGCAACGAUGCGUAGCCGACCUGAGAGGGUGAUCGGCCACACUGGAACUGAGACACGGUCCAGACUCCUACGGGAGGCAGCAGUAGGGAAUCUCCCGCAAUGGGCGAAAGCCUGACGGAGCAACGCCGCGUGAGUGAUGAAGGUCUUCGGAUCGUAAAACUCUGUUAUUAGGGAAGAACAAAUGUGUAAGUAACUAUGCACGUCUUGACGGUACCUAAUCGGAAAGCCACGGCUAACUACGUG
rnacentral:rRNA from 1 species